ensembl:snoRNA SNORA66 Small nucleolar RNA SNORA66
UUGCAAACUCAAUCACUAGCUCUUCAUGAUGUUGCAGAAGCAAGAGGAACAGUUUUGCUAAAGUGAAAAUGGUAAUAGAACUAAGCCUUAGAAAUCAAAUGAUUGGGGCUGUUCAUUCUAUACCAUGAUAAGG